GGGCGGGGGGCUGAGCCCGGGGGUGGAGGAAGGCGGCGGCGUGGCCCCGGGGGUGCAGGAGGCGGGGGGCUUGGCGGAGGGGGUGCAAGAAGCGGGGCUGGGAGCCCGGGGCCAGGAGCUGGUGACCGGCGGGAGGGCACCGGAGGGCGGCGGCGGCGGCGGCGGGGCCGGGCGGCCGGGGCAGUGGCAGCGGGUGCUGCUGGGGGUGCGCGCGGGGCUGCAGGAGCGCGGCGACCGGCCGGUGCCCACCGUGGGCACCAAGCCCCCGCCGGGCUUGCGGCGCCCCCGCGAGCAGCAGGGGGCUCCCAGGGGGCGGCCGAGCCCCGGCGAGCCUCGGGUGGGCGUGCGGAGGGCGAGGGGGGCCGAAGGGGACAGCCCCGGGGCCAGGAGGGUCCGGGCGGGUGGGCGCGGGGUGCAGGAGCGCGGCCCCAAAGCGCGGCAGGAGCAGGGCCCGAGCCGCAGGGCGCAGCAGGAGCGCGGCGCCCGCAGGGACAGCGGCAGCCCCCCGGGGCGAGCCCGCUGGUGGGUGCGCAGGGGUCGGCAGGAGGAAGGGGAGGCGCUGGGUGGGGUGCAGGAGGAGGGCGAGCGCUACCACGGGGAGCAGGAGCAGCCCCCCGGCACGUGGCCCCCGCGACGACGCCAGGCCAGGGUGUGAAGGCGGAGACCCCGCCGAGCGCGCCCCCCCCCGCCAUGCCGCCCGCCCGCGGCCCUCCUCGCCCCGCCGACGCCACCACGCCGGCACCGGACACCCGGCGAGGGAUGCCACGGCCGUGAGCGUCGAGGUAAGGGGCGACGCGGGCACCGGGACCGCUGGCAGAGGCGGUGCGGCGCUGGCACCGUGCCCUGCAGCACUGCGGGCAUCCCCGGCAGCAGGCACCAGGGAUGCUCGCCCUCGGUCGGUCCCCCUGCUCCCCUCCACCGAGGUUUGGUGUCUGAACCCGCAGCGGAAGCCGGGGGAAGGAUUCCUUUUUUUUUUUUCUUUUUUUUUUUUUUUCCUUUUGCUCUGCUCUUCCUCCUC
rnacentral:lncRNA from 1 species